UGAGGAAUAUUGGUCAAUGGGCGAGAGCCUGAACCAGCCAAGUAGCGUGCAGGAUGACGGCCCUAUGGGUUGUAAACUGCUUUUAUAUGGGAAUAAAGUGAGGGACGUGUCCCUUAUUGCAUGUACCAUACGAAUAAGGACCGGCUAAUUCCGUGCCAGCAGCCGCGGUAAUACGGAAGGUCCAGGCGUUAUCCGGAUUUAUUGGGUUUAAAGGGAGCGUAGGCUGUUUGUUAAGCGUGUUGUGAAAUGUAGGAGCUCAACUUUUAGAUUGCAGCGCGAACUGGCAGACUUGAGUGCGCACAACGUAGGCGGAAUUCAUGGUGUAGCGGUGAAAUGCUUAGAUAUCAUGACGAACUCCGAUUGCGAAGGCAGCUUGCGGGAGCGCAACUGACGCUAAAGCUCGAAGGUGCGGGUAUCGAACAGG
rnacentral:rRNA from 1 species